GAUGAACGCUGGCGGCGUGCCUAAUACAUGCAAGUCGAGCGAACGGACGAGAAGCUUGCUUCUCUGAUGUUAGCGGCGGACGGGUGAGUAACACGUGGAUAACCUACCUAUAAGACUGGGAUAACUUCGGGAAACCGGAGCUAAUACCGGAUAAUAUUUUGAACCGCAUGGUUCAAAAGUGAAAGACGGUCUUGCUGUCACUUAUAGAUGGAUCCGCGCUGCAUUAGCUAGUUGGUAAGGUAACGGCUUACCAAGGCAACGAUGCAUAGCCGACCUGAGAGGGUGAUCGGCCACACUGGAACUGAGACACGGUCCAGACUCCUGCGGGAGGCAGCAGUAGGGAAUCUUCCGCAAUGGGCGAAAGCCUGACGGAGCAACGCCGCGUGAGUGAUGAAGGUCUUCGGAUCGUAAAACUCUGUUAUUAGGGAAGAACAUAUGUGUAAGUAACUGUGCACAUCUUGACGGUACCUAAUCAGAAAGCCACGGCUAACUACGUGCCAGCAGCCGCGGUAAUACGUAGGUGGCAAGCGUUAUCCGGAAUUAUUGGGCGUAAAGCGCGCGUAGGCGGUUUUUUAAGUCUGAUGUGAAAGCCCACGGCUCAACCGUGGAGGGUCAUUGGAAACUGGAAAACUUGAGUGCAGAAGAGGAAAGUGGAAUUCCAUGUGUAGCGGUGAAAUGCGCAGAGAUAUGGAGGAACACCAGUGGCGAAGGCGACUUUCUGGUCUGUAACUGACGCUGAUGUGCGAAAGCGUGGGGAUCAAACAGGAUUAGAUACCCUGGUAGUCCACGCCGUAAACGAUGAGUGCUAAGUGUUAGGGGGUUUCCGCCCCUUAGUGCUGCAGCUAACGCAUUAAGCACUCCGCCUGGGGAGUACGACCGCAAGGUUGAAACUCAAAGGAAUUGACGGGGACCCGCACAAGCGGUGGAGCAUGUGGUUUAAUUCGAAGCAACGCGAAGAACCUUACCAAAUCUUGACAUCCUUUGACAACUCUAGAGAUAGAGCUUUCCCCUUCGGGGGACAAAGUGACAGGUGGUGCAUGGUUGUCGUCAGCUCGUGUCGUGAGAUGUUGGGUUAAGUCCCGCAACGAGCGCAACCCUUAAGCUUAGUUGCCAUCAUUAAGUUGGGCACUCUAAGUUGACUGCCGGUGACAAACCGGAGGAAGGUGGGGAUGACGUCAAAUCAUCAUGCCCCUUAUGAUUUGGGCUACACACGUGCUACAAUGGACAAUACAAAGGGCAGCGAAACCGUGAGGUCAAGCAAAUCCCAUAAAGUUGUUCUCAGUUCGGAUUGUAGUCUGCAACUCGACUACAUGAAGCUGGAAUCGCUAGUAAUCGUAGAUCAGCAUGCUACGGUGAAUACGUUCCCGGGUCU
rnacentral:rRNA from 1 species